CCCGCUGAACUUAAGCAUAUCAAUAAGCGGAGGAAAAGAAACCAACAGGGAUUGCCCCAGUAACGGCGAGUGAAGCGGCAACAGCUCAAAUUUGAAAUCUGGCGUCUUAGGCGUCCGAGUUGUAAUUUGCAGAGGGAGUCUCGGGUUGAGGACCGGCCCAAGUGCCUUGGAACAGGAUACCGCAGAGGGUGAGAGUCCCGUAUCCGGCUGGUGCCAACGCCCGUGUGAGACCCCUUCGACGAGUCGAGUUGUUUGGGAAUGCAGCUCUAAAUGGGUGGUAAAUUCCAUCUAAAGCUAAAUACCGGCCAGAGACCGAUAGCGCACAAGUAGAGUGAUCGAAAGAUGAAAAGCACUUUGAAAAGAGAGUCAAACAGUACGUGAAAUUGUUGAAAGGGAAGCGUAUGUGGGCAGACUUGACCGCGGGAUUCAGCUCGUCUUCUGGCGGGUGCACUUUCUCGUGGGCAGGCCAGCAUCGGUUUCGGGGGCCGGACAAAGACGUUGGGAAUGUGGCACUCUUCGGGGUGUGUUAUAGCCCGACGUGCAAUGCGGCCACCUGGGACCGAGGACCGCGCUUCGGCGAGGAUGCUGGCGUAAUGGCCUCAUACGGCCCGUCUUGAAACACGG
rnacentral:rRNA from 1 species